GUGCCAGCAGCCGCGGUAAUUCCAGCUCCAAUAGCGUAUAUUAAAGUUGUUGUGGUUAAGAAGCUCGUAGUUGAACCUUGGGCCUGGCUGGCCGGUCCGCCUCACCGCGUGCACUGGUCCGGCCGGGCCUUUCCCUCUGUGGAACCCCAUACCCUUCACUGGGCGUGGCGGGGAAACAGGACAUUUACUUUGAAAAAAUUAGAGUGCUCCAGGCAGGCCUAUGCUCGAAUACAUUAGCAUGGAAUAAUAAAAUAGGACGCGCGGUUCUAUUUUGUUGGUUUAUAGGACCGCCGUAAUGAUUAAUAGGGACAGUCGGGGGCAUCAGUAUUCAACUGUCAGAGGUGAAAUUCUUGGAUCAGUUGAAGACUAACUACUGCGAAAGCAUUUGCCAAGGAUGUUUUCAUUAAUCAGGAACGAAAGUUAGGGGAUCGAAGACGAUCAGAUACCGUCGUAGUCUUAACCAUAAACUAUGCCGACUAGGGAUCGGACGGUGUUAUUCAUGACCCGUUCGGCACCUUACGAGAAAUCAAAGUGCUUGGGCUCCAGGGGGAGUAUGGUCGCAAGGCUGAAACUUAAAGAAAUUGACGGGAAGGGCACCACCAGGGGUGGAGCCUGCGGCUUAAUUUGACUCAACACGGGGAAACUCACCAGGUCCAGACACAAUAAGGAUUGACAGAUUGAGAGCUCUUUCUUGAUUUUGUGGGUGGUGGUGCAUGGCCGUUCUUAGUUGGUGGGGUGACUUGUCUGCUUAAUUGCGAUACGAACGAGACCUUAACCUGCUAAAUAGCCCGCAUUGCUCCGGCAGUGCGCUGGCUCUAGAGGGACUUUCGCUCAGCCGAGGAAGUGAGCAUACAGUCUGUGAUGCCUAGAUGUACUAGGCUGCACGCCGCUAACUUGACGGUCAGCGAGCUCUGACGAAGCCCGGGUAAUCCUGGUUUAGC
rnacentral:rRNA from 1 species